AAGGGUUUAAGAUAUAAUUAAUCUUUAUGCCUUUUAAGCAUAUAAAGCUUUUGCAACUCUUC
rnacentral:tRNA from 1 species